ACAGUGCCAGCAUGUCCUCCGGGAUGAUGGGGACGACUGUUGGGACCGCCUCUGCUAAAGAGGAGGAAGGAAUGGGCAACGGUAGGUCAGCAUGCCCCGAAUUAUCCGGGCUACACGCGGGCUACAAUGGUCAGGACAAUGGGUAUCGACACCGAGAGGUGGAGGCAAUCUCCUAAACCUGUCCUUAGUUCGGAUUGUGGGCUGCAACUCGCCCACAUGAAGCUGGAAUCCGUAGUAAUCGCGUUUCAAAAUAGCGCGGUGAAUAUGUCCCUGCUCCUU
rnacentral:rRNA from 1 species